AGCGCAGGCGGGAAGACAAGUUGGAAGUGAAAUCCAUGGGCUCAACCCAUGAACUGCUUUCAAAACUGUUUUUCUUGAGUAGUGCAGAGGUAGGCGGAAUUCCCGGUGUAGCGGUGGAAUGCGUAGAUAUCGGGAGGAACACCAGUAGCGAAGGCGGCCUACUGGGCACCAACUGACGCUGAGGCUCGAAAGUGUGGGUAGCAAACA
rnacentral:rRNA from 1 species